GUACUAUGUUAAACAACAGUGGUGACAGGGGGCAUCCUUAUCAUGUUCCAGAUCUUAGAGGAAAAGCUUUCCAUUUUUCCCCAUUCCAUAUGAUUCUAGCUGUGGGUGUCUUUCCUGUAGUUUUUAUUAUGUUGCGUGAAAGAAGAUUGCCACGGAGACAGACAGCAGCAUGGUCAGUGUGGUAGGAGCCGGCCAUCAGCGAGAGCUGCUCCAUGCCUGGCUGCUGGGAGCUAGAGCCUGCGGCCCACUGGCUUGCCUCACUGUAGUUGGUGGUGGCAGUGACAGAGACUGCAGCAUGACCAGAGUGGCUUUUCUGGCUUUGCCCGCCCAGCUGCUCCAUGCCAGGAGGAGGAGGAGACACCUAGAGCCUGCAACACCACGGCUCACCUCGCUGCAGGUGGGUGGCAGUGACGGAGACUGCAGUGCGCCAGAGCGGUAGGAGAGUGGCCACGCUAGGAGGGCGGGCGGCUGCAGGCAGGGUUGGGAGUCAGGCUUACAGCGAUGGACGGGCUGCAGCAGUGGCCAGGUGGUAGGAGCCUUGUAGGGAGGGCUGGUGCAUUGGCAAUGGGCCUGGCUUUGCCCUGUGCCUGCCGUGGAUCUGGCCCUGUACUGCCCUGCCUUGCCCUGUACCUGCCCUACUGUUACCUGGACUCUCAGCCCUGUCCUGCUCUGGUCCCAUCCUGACCCUGUCUUGGCCCCGUGCUACCCUGUCCCUGCCCUGGUCUUGCCCUGGCACUGGCCCUGCCCUGAACCUGCACUGGCCUGACCUUGGCUCUGGCCCUGGCUCUGGCCCUGCCCCUUGUCCUGACCCUGGUCCUGUCAUGGCACUGGCCCUGCCAGUGGUCAUGGUCCUGCUCCUGUUCUGGCCCUGACCUGGCCUUGGAAAUGUCCUGGCUCUGCUUUGGCCCAUCCCUGCCCUGGCCCCACCAUGGGCCUUCCUGUUCUGCCCUCUCCUGGCACUGACCUGGCCCUGUCAUGGCCCAGUGGUGCCAUUGCCCUGCCUUACCCUGCGCUGGUUGUGCCUUGGCCCCGCUUGGUGCUGGCCGCUUCCUGGACCUGCCCUGGACCUGCCCUGACCCUGCCUUGGCUUUUGCCCUGCCCUCACUAUGGCCUGGCCCUGGCCCUAGCCCUGGUCCUGCCAUAUCCCUGACCCUGCCCUUAUCCAGGCCCUGCCCCUGCUGCUGCCCUGGCCCUGGCCUGGAACCUGGUCCUGUCAAGGACCUGCCCUGACUCUGCCAUGGCCCUGGCCCUGCUCUGCCUUGUUCCUGGCCCUGACCCAGACCCAGACCCUUUCCUGGCUCUGCACUGGUCUUUCCCUGGCCCUGAGCUGGCAGUGGUCUGCCCCUGGUCUUGCCAUCACCCUGCCCUGCUGUGCUCUGGAUGUGUCAUCACCCUGCCCUGGCUCUACUCUGCCUUUGACCCUGCCCUGGCCUUGCCUUGGCCCUCACCCUAGUCUUCGCUAGGCCCAGCACAGACCUGGCUCUGACCCUGGCCCUGGUCUUUGUCCUGCCAUAGCUUUGGCCCUGAAGUGGACUUGGAGGUGUCCUGGCCCCGGUGUAACAUGGCUCUGCAUUGGCCUGUCUCUGCCCUGCCCCUACCAUCGCCUUGCCCUGCUCUGCCCUGUCCCAGUACUGACCCGGCCACGCUAUUUCCCCGCCCUACCCUGCCUUGGCUGUGCCCUGGCUCGGUUCUGGCCCUGGCCCCGGCCCU
rnacentral:lncRNA from 1 species